rnacentral:rRNA from 1 species
UUAUAAGAGACAGCAGCAGCCGCGGUAAAACGAAGGGUGCAAGCGUUACUCGGAAUUACUGGGCGUAAAGCGUGCGUAGGUGGUUGUUUAAGUCUGCUGUGAAAGCCCUGGGCUCAACCUGGGAAUUGCAGUGGAUACUGGGCGACUAGAGUAAGGUAGAGGAUAGUGGAAUUUCCGGUGUAGCAGUGAAAUGCGUAGAGAUCGGAAGGAACAUCUGUGGCGAAGGCGACUAUCUGGGCCAUUACUGACACUGAGGCACGAAAGCGUGGGGAGCAAACAGGAUUAGAUACCCCUGUAGUCCCUGUCUCUUAUAC